rnacentral:lncRNA from 1 species
GGGGAUUUACCGAGUGUCGUAUUUAUAGGUUCGCUCUAAGGAAGGCUUAAUAUGUUAAGGAUUCUAAGAUAAGCAUAGAUCAAAAUAAUUAUGAUAGCAAUAAUGGAAUCAAAGGUCAUAACAGGUGAUAAACAUUUAUAUGUAGAACAGUGAUCCAUCACAAUCUAGGCAUGGCAUAUGGGCUAAGGAAUAAAAAGAGACUAAAAGAAUGAAUUGAAUCAAAGAAUAAACAAACAACCUAUUGGAGUAGGUGUGGUCCUAGAUACAGAUCAUGUCAUAGAACAAGUUAAUCAUGUAAUUAUACUACUU